rnacentral:rRNA from 1 species
UGGCGGACGGGUGAGUAACGCGUGGGGAACCUGCCCUGUACCGGGGGAUAGCAGCCGGAAACGGCUGAUAAUACCGCAUAAGCGCACGAAUGUCGCAUGACAUGGUGUGAAAAACUCCGGUGGUAUAGGAUGGACCCGCGUCUGAUUAGCCGGUUGGUGGGGUAAAAGCCUACCAAAGCGAAGAUCAGUAGCCGAGUUGAGAGACUGACCGGCCACAUUGGGACUGAGACACGGCCCAGACUCCUACGGGAGGCAGCAGGC